AUUGAACGCUGGCGGCAGGCCUAACACAUGCAAGUCGAGCGGCAGCGGAAAGUAGCUUGCUACUUUGCCGGCGAGCGGCGGACGGGUGAGUAAUGUCUGGGAAACUGCCUGAUGGAGGGGGAUAGCUACUGGAAACGGUAGCUAAUACCGCAUAACGUCGCAAGACCAAAGAGGGGGACCUUCGGGCCUCUUGCCAUCAGAUGUGCCCAGAUGGGAUUAGCUAGUAGGUGGGGUAACGGCUCACCUAGGCGACGAUCCCUAGCUGGUCUGAGAGGAUGACCAGCCACACUGGAACUGAGACACGGUCCAGACUCCUACGGGAGGCAGCAGUGGGGAAUAUUGCACAAUGGGCGCAAGCCUGAUGCAGCCAUGCCGCGUGUAUGAAGAAGGCCUUCGGGUUGUAAAGUACUUUCAGCGGGGAGGAAGGUGUUGUGGUUAAUAACCACAGCAAUUGACGUUACCCGCAGAAGAAGCACCGGCUAACUCCGUGCCAGCCGCCGCGGUAAUAC
rnacentral:rRNA from 1 species